rnacentral:rRNA from 1 species
AAACUGGAGGACUUGAGUACAGAAGAGGAGAGUGGAAUUUCCACGUGUAGCGGUGAAAUGCGUAGAGAUGUGGAGGAACACCAGUGGCGNAGGGCGACUCUCUGGUCUGUAACUGACGCUGAGGAGCGAAAGCGUGGGGAGCGAACAGGAUUAGAUACCCUGGUAGUCCACGCCGUAAACGAUGAGUGCUAGGUGUUAGGGGGUUUCCGCCCCUUAGUGCUGAAGUUAACGCAUUAAGCACUCCGCCUGGGGAGUACGGCCGCAAGGCUGAAACUCAAAAGAAUUGACGGGGGCCCGCACAAGCGGUGGAGCAUGUGGUUUAGUUCGAAGCAACGCGAAGAACCUUACCAGGUCUUGACAUCCUCUGAUAGCGAUAGAGAUAUCGUAUUCCCUUCGGGGACAGAGUGACAGGUGGUGCAUGGUUGUCGUCAGCUCGUGUCGUGAGAUGUUGGGUUAUGUCCCGCAACGAGCGCAACCCUUGAUCUUAGUUGCCAGCAUUAAGUUGGGCACUCUAAGGUGACUGCCGGUGAUAAACCGGAGGAAGGUGGGGAUGACGUCAAAUCAUCAUGCCCCUUAUGACCUGGGCUACACACGUGCUACAAUGGAUGGAACAAAGGGCCGCGAAGCCGCGAGGUGAAGCAAAUCCCAUAAAACCAUUCUCAGUUCGGAUUGUAGGCUGCAACUCGCCUACAUGAAGCCGGAAUCGCUAGUAAUCGCGGAUCAGCAUGCCGCGGUGAAUACGUUCCCGGGCCUUGUACACACCGCCCGU